AGUGGCGGACGGGUGAGUAACGCGUGGGUAACCUGCCUCAUACAGGGGGAUAACAGUUAGAAAUGACUGCUAACACCGCAUAAUAUAGUGAAACCGCAUGAUUUUGCUAUCAAAUAUUUAUAGGUAUGAGAUGGGCCCGCGUCUGAUUAGCUAGUUGGUGGGGUAAAGGACCUACCAAGGCGACGAUCAGUAGCCGGCUUGAGAGAGUGACCGGCCACAUUGGGACGUGAGACACGGCCCAAACCUCCUACGGGAGGCAGCAGUGGGGAAGUAUUGGACAAUGGGGGGAAACCCUGAUCCAGCGACGCCCGCGUGAGUGAAGAAGUAUUUCGGUAUGUAAAGCUCUAUCAGCAGGGAAGAUAAUGACAGUACCUGACUAAGAAGCCCCGGCUAACUACGUGCCAGCAGCAGC
rnacentral:rRNA from 1 species